rnacentral:tRNA from 1 species
GCCUGAGUGGCUCAGUCGGUUAGGCGUCUGACUUCGGCUCAGGUCAUGAUCUCAUGAGUCAUGGGUUUGAGCCCUGUGUCAGGCU